UAUUACAACACAGAGAGGCCAGCAUCACUUCACAAAAGUUUUUGUUAAAAACGUCAACGUUCAGAGGCAUCACUCAGUACCAGCCAUGCAGAGACUUUAUGAGGCUGUUGUAAGAGAUUAGCCUAUCCCCUGUAUGUCACUGAUGCACUACUUCAAAGAUGUGAGGACAAGAACAUACACCUGCGAGUAGUCUUAGACAUUGCCUGUGUUGUUGCCUCACAUUUGCAGAAAUCAGGGGAGGCCAUACCACACAACAUCUCCUUAGUCAUACCAGCAUUUCAUGAUUAUGGACACAAAUGGCCCUGCCAGAUCAAGUACAGUACCAGAUGGCUUGAUGGGUUUGGGCUCACAGACGGGGAAGGAAUGGAAAGGCUGUGGUCUUUCCUCCAAAGAUUUGCCAGAGUCACAAAGAAGAUGACUCCAUCUCAUCGCCUUGACCUACUGACUGAUGCCCAUUAUGGACGGAGGAAAUCAACUG